rnacentral:misc_RNA from 1 species
CUUCACUGGAGGGACUUUCCCUAGAUACUCAGGAUGCUAAAUCUCCAGGUCCUAUCAGUCCCACAGCUUAUGAUUCUGGAGCUCCUGACAAAACUAUUUUGUCAGAUGGAAAUGUGCCAAAGAGUGAAGCUCUGAAAAAUAGUAUGGUAAAUGAAAAUAUGUUAGAGAGUGGUCAGAAUGCUAUUGUUGAUCGUAUUAUAUCCAGCCCAUUGAGCACUCAAGCAACAGCUUCUGCCCAAACUAAUACUGGACAUGUUAGUCCGUCAUCUUCAGCAAGUAAUCAGAACAGUAUGGCACGCACACGUC